AUUGAACGCUGGCGGCGGGCCUAACACAUGCAAGUCGAACGGUAACAGGAAACAGCUUGCUGUUUCGCUGACGAGUGGCGGACGGGUGAGUAAUGUCUGGGAAACUGCCUGAUGGAGGGGGAUAACUACUGGAAACGGUAGCUAAUACCGCAUAACGUCGCAAGACCAAAGAGGGGGACCUUCGGGCCUCUUGCCAUCGGAUGUGCCCAGAUGGGAUUAGCUAGUAGGUGGGGUAACGGCUCACCUAGGCGACGAUCCCUAGCUGGUCUGAGAGGAUGACCAGCCACACUGGAACUGAGACACGGUCCAGACUCCUACGGGAGGCAGCAGUGGGGAAUAUUGCACAAUGGGCGCAAGCCUGAUGCAGCCAUGCCGCGUGUAUGAAGAAGGCCUUCGGGUUGUAAAGUACUUUCAGCGGGGAGGAAGGGAGUAAAGUUAAUACCUUUGCUCAUUGACGUUACCCGCAGAAGAAGCACCGGCUAACUCCGUG
rnacentral:rRNA from 1 species